rnacentral:rRNA from 1 species
AGCGAACGCUGGCGGCAGGCUUAACACAUGCAAGUCGAGCGGGCCCUUCGGGGUCAGCGGCGGACGGGUGAGUAACGCGUGGGAACGUGCCUUCUGGUCUGGAAUAACCCUGGGAAACUAGGGCUAAUACCGGAUACGCCCUUUUGGGGAAAGGUUUACUGCCGGAAGAUCGGCCCGCGUCUGAUUAGCUAGUUGGUGGGGUAACGGCCUACCAAGGCGACGAUCAGUAGCUGGUCUGAGAGGAUGAUCAGCCACACUGGGACUGAGACACGGCCCAGACUCCUACGGGAGGCAGCAGUGGGGGAUAUUGGACAAUGGGCGCAAGCCUGAUCCAGCCAUGCCGCGUGAGUGAUGAAGGCCUUAGGGUUGUAAAGCUCUUUUAUCCGGGACGAUAAUGACGGUACCGGAAGAAUAAGCCCCGGCUAACUUCGUG